UGAAACCCUGUCUCUACUAAAAAUACAAAAAUUAGCCAGGUGUGGCACACACCUGUAAUCCCAGCUACUUGGGAGGCUGAGGCAGGAAAAUCACUUGAACCCUGGAGGCUGAGGUUGCAGUGAGCUGAGAUAGGGCCACUGCAUUCCAGCCUGAGUGACAGAGCGAGACUCCAUCUUGAAAAGUAAAAAACAAAAACUUCAUGUUUCCUCUUGUGGUUUAUGAUUCUUGACGUAAAAACCAAGUAGCUGCUACAAUUAACCCUGCUCAUGUUUAUACUUUUUUGGAGAGACAUCAGAGCAUAGCAGUUAAGAUCAUGGUCUCUGAAGCCAAACUGCCUGUGUUUGAAUUCUGCCUGUGCCUCAUAGCUAUGUGAACUAACCUCUGUGCCUUUGUCUCAUUUGUACAUGGGGAUUAGAAAUGUAUCUACCUCAAAGGGUGGUUGUGAAAAUUAAAGGAGUUCAUAUAGUCUGUAAAAAACUUAAGAGCAUCAUCAGAGUAAGCACCAAAUAUAAUUUCUGGUAAUCACUAUCGGUUUCUUGAUCACAUCUGUUGUAGUUGUCUUAGCCCAAUUCAUUCAGCCAGCAUUUAUAAUGCCAGACUCACAUAUAAAACAAACGUAACAGUAUGUAAUAUUAAUGUGAUUAUAAAAUAACAGGAAUAUAUUCAGAGGAAUGUUUACAGGCAUUUUUUGAACAACCACUUUCGAUCAUAAGGUACACUGUUAAAACUAAGUUUUAGUUAACAGUGAAUAUAUACAAAUGUGUAUAGUUAUGUGUAUACUAACUCUGAGUCUUGUUACCCUGGUUAGUCUGGUGGAUCCAAUACUUUUUGGUCGGAUUGCCAUGCAGCAUCAUGAUAAUGCAUAUCAAGUGUUAGUUUAACUGAUCUGCAAAUUGUUUUAAGUGGUGUCUCUGCUUUUGCUUCCAUAAUCUAUGAAAUGUCACAAUAACUAAGUGUUCCUGAAUAUCUGUUAAAACUUGUUAAAAAUCCUCAUACAUAACACAAAAGCCUAACACAUUGAUGGACUUCAAGAAUGUUGAAUGACUCACAGAAUAACACAUAUACUUUAGUUUUUUUUAAUUUAUUUUUCUUGAGAUGGGGUCUUGCUUUGUUGCCCAGGCUGGGCACAAUCAGCUCACUGCAGUUUCAACCUCCUGGGCUCAAUCCAUCCUGCCACCUAAGCCUUCCAAGUAGCGAGGACUACAGGUGCACACCACCAUGUCUGGCUAACAUUUUGUGGAGACAGGGUCUCCCUGUGUGUUGCCCAGGCUGGACUCAAAACCCUGAGCUCAAGCGAGCCUCCCAAAGUACUGGGAUUGCAGGCAGGAGUUACUGUGCCUGGCCACCAUUUAAUUCUUGAGCAUUUUCUUUUAUAUUCUAAUUGUCCGCUUCUAAUUUGGCCACCGUAUUCACAUCAAGGUUAAGUGACUUAACAUCUUUGGGGAUAAAUAAGGUGCUGAUUUUGUCUAUAGCCAUCAGUUUAUCAUACUAGAUCCAAGUUUGUCAAUUUAAAUCAGGUGUGUUUAUGAGCAAAGAUAUGAUCAUGCUGAAUGUUCCAUGUGUACUUCAGGAGAUACAUUCUGCUAGUUUGGGGUGGUGUGUUCUAUAAAUGUCAAUUUAAUCCAGUCGGCUUAUGAUUUUCAGUUCUAUAUUCUUACUGAUUAAUGUGUAUAUACUAGUUCUGUUACUAAGGAGGGAUGUUAAAUUAAUCCCUAGCUGUAAUUGUGCAUUAGUUUGUCUCUUUUCAGCUGUUCUAGCUUCAUAAAUUUUUGGAGCUGUUAGGUGCAUAUACGUUUAGGAUUAUUUUGUCUUCUUGGUGAACUAGACCUUUUAUCAUUAGGAAACUGUCCAUAUAACCACUCCAUUUUUAAUUGUUUACAUGGUUUUUCCAUCCUUUUAACCUAUCAAUCACUUGAAUUGACUUUCUUUAUAGACAGCAGAUCACUGGGUUAUGUUGGUUUUUUCCGUGUCUCUUGUCAUUGAUGCACUUAGACCAUUUACAUUUAAUGUAAUCAUUGAUACGUAUGGGUUUAGUUCUACCAUUUUUUUUUCUUUUUUUUUUUUUUUUUUUUUGAGACAGAGUUUUGCUCUUGUUGCCCAGGCUGGAGUGCAAUGACACAAUCUCAGCUCACUGCAACCACCACCUCCCAGGUUCAAGUGAUUCUCCUGCCUUGGCCUCCUGCGUAGCUGGGAUUACAGGCAUGAGCCACCGUGCCUGGCCUUUUUCUUUUUUAAACAGGGUCUUGCUCUGUCACCCAGACUAGAGGUGCAGUGGCACAGUCAUGGCUCACUGCAGCCUCAAUCUCCUGGGCUCAAGUGAUCCUCAAGGGCCUCCAGAGUAGCCCACCACCAUGCCUGGCUUUUUUUUUUUUUUUUUUUUUUGUAAGUAGAGACACAUUUCACUGUGUUGGCCAGGCUGGUGUCGAACUCCUGGGCUCAAGCCAUUGCCCACCUCAAAGUGCUGGGAUUACAAGUGUGAGCCACCACACCCAACCAGGUUAUUUGAACAUUUUUAAGUACUGUAUUUUCUCUAUUGUAAUAUUGACUGUCAUCUCUGUGCAGGUUUUUUAGUGGUUGCUCUAGGUUGAAACGCUUUGAAUUCUUAGGUAUCUAAGAGUGAGCAUUUUCUUUUUUUGACUGCUAUACUCUCACCAGUUGCCAGCUUCUCAUAUAAAUAUUGUAAAUGCUCUCGUUUAGGUAACUCAGCUUCUGGAGUUGAGGGAACUUCAAAAUCAGAAGAGCUCUGGGAAUCUGCAUUUGUGCUAAGAUUUAGCAAACUUUUUUCCUCGGGUAUAUGUGUCUCACUGCUUAGAGUAGUUGGUUCUCCAGUACUAGGAACUAUUGUCACAUCUUUAUCUCUGCUUUUCAAAUCAGAGUAAGUAUCCUUUGGGCAAAUUACAUUUUGUUCCAUGAGAGAGGCAGGAAUAUUCUCUUUGAUUGUUGGUCUGUAGUCAGCUUUGUCCAAGGAAGUAAUAUCCCCACUGUUUCUCUCUUGGGAAGAUAACAAAACAGUAUCAGAUUGGCUGUCCCAGCCUUGACUUCCUUGUUCUGUUAUGUGUGUUGACUGGGAAGAAUUCUGGGAGGAGAUGUGAGUUGAUUCUCCAUCAGAGUCACUGAAAAGCUUUGGUGACUGAGAUCCCCCUGCCACUGUGGAGGAAGGGAAGUUUUCCAAACUCUCAUCUGUGAUUUCAUCAUUUCUUUUAAAGAAUACUUCCCACUGGGGUACAUCCCCAUCAGCCUUUUGCAGGUGAAGUACAGAGCCCAGAUCUCCUUGCAGUGAAGCUGGGAUUCCUACUUCUUCUUCACUUUCACUGUUGGAUUCUUCACAAUCUACAAAGUUUGUGAAACGAGAGCUCUGCAUACACUCUGCUCUGCAGCAUCCUGGGGUUUGUCUCAGUUUUUCAGGCUGCUUUUCUGAUACUGCAGUCAUUGAAAAUACCUCAGGGUGAAAAGUUUCCGGGUAUGGAACUUUGUGCCUUAAAGGUAUUGGCAGAGGAUCAUCAAAGAGAUAGUCAUCUUCCUCCUCUGUGGGACAAACAAAACAGGUUUAUAGGAAACAAGGCAAAGGGAGCCAAUUUGUAGUAUUUAUCUGUACUUUUAAUUCUUGGAAUUGCAAAGAAUAGGGAGGCCACUCUUCUUCAAAGGGAAAAGAUAUUCUUGGGAUAUGCUGAACAAUUUAACUGCCAUCCUUCAACUUUUUAUAAUAAAUGCCAGAGUAUCAGUGGAGAAUAUAGAGCAGUCACUCUGCUCUAUAUGUAAGCCUGGCUGAUCAUUACGAUCAUAUGCAAAACUUCAAAAAAAGAAAAAAAAAAAAAACAGGUUUCUGUAUCUCAUUCCAGACCUACUGAAUCCCUGAGGAAGAUAGGACCAAAUAAUUUGAUUUUUAAGUUCUACAGCUGAUAUCUGUUCAGCCAGGUUUGCAAAGCCUGUGUGCUCUGCAAAUAGUAGAUGCUCAGUGGGUUGGCUGACUUAGGAAAAUUAAAUUGCUUUUUAUUAAGGUUUUUCUUCUGUGAGCAUCUUAUUGACAUGUUUUAUGCACAAGGUUGCAACAGGUUAAAUCAACUUUAAAGCAAAAUACUGAAUAAUCAACGUGUCAAGAACUUAAAAUUCAAAACAUUAAUAAGCAUGCUGUGUCAACAAAUGUUCUUAAAAUGAAAAAAGCCUUACUUAGAAAAACAAAUAUUUUCCCAUCUUGUAACAGUAUCUAACCUAGGAAGAAAGUUAAAUGCACCCAAGACUACUGUGUAUGGCAACUUCUUGUUCUACUGCUGAAUCUGGUGUUAUAAUAAUCCACUUAAAUGAUGUGGCUAAACACUGCAUUUUUAAGACACUAAUAUAAAGGACCAUAGAGACCAUUAUCCAGCUCCCAUGUUCCCCGUGUGAAGCUAGGCCCAGAGAAAAGGGUGUGCCAAUACACACGACCCAACCUCAUUCUUAAAGGUUCAGUGUUAUGACUUGUAACUGAACUUAGGGCUUAAGGUCACUAAGAUAUCUAACGACUGUAUUUGGAAUCAUCCUAGACUGCAGAAUGUAGAUUUUAAGCCAAAGAUCAUAUGUAUGUUUUAGGUCCCUCACUACUAUGCCAAAGUUGUUUUUUGAGUUUUAUACAGUCACAGUUCAGCCUCUACCUCUCAGGCUCAGGAGAUCCACCCCCAUGCCCAGCUAAUUUUUUUUAGACAGUGUUUCCCCUUGUUGCCCAGGUUGGUUUUGAACUCCUGCACUCAGGCAAUCCACCCCCUCGGCCUCCCAAAUUGCUGGAAUUAGAGGCAUGAGCCACUUUGCCUAGCCCAAAAUUACCUUUUUAUGAAAUAUUUUUGUAUGAUCUCUAAGUUGAACAGUUCUGCAUUCCAAAUCAGUGACUAUGCCUGAUCCCAAAAGACAUUUAUCAAAAAGGAGUGUGGAUUGGGUAGAUGCAUAAAAGGCACAAAAGAUUAAAGGAAGAAAGGACUUUUGCUUCCAGGUAAGAUGGAGUAACGGACUAGAUUUAACCUCCCACUUGAAAUAACGAAAAAUCAGAAACUAUCUCUCAAGAAAAUGGACAUCGAGCAAUUAAGGACAAUGACAUGAGAAAUAAGACACAGAUGAGUCCUAUGAUUGCCUGACUCCCUGCUUCAUAACAGAUUCCAGUCAGGGAGGGAACAUCUGGAUAGAGCCCAUGGACAUCCUUGAUGUGAGGUGGAAGUGGAACAUUGAAGAAAUAAAUGUACCUGGAGUUUACAGAGCAGAAGACCAGAGAGGAGAGUGCUGCACAGAAACUCUGAAAAGCUGCAGAGGCGUCCCCACCACGUGUUCAGUGCACUAAGCAGCAUGUGCUUGUAAGGAAACUACCUGCAGCCAGGCAACGAAUCACUCAAACAAAAGGAAAGAAAGUGCCCAGAACUCACCGUGCCAGGAACAGUGUCUUGUCCUGGUCCCAACAGCCAGAGUGGAAAACCUCAUGAUCCAUGGGCAUUUGUAAAAGAACCAAGAAGAGCCUUGCCUCAGUAGUGGGGAAAAUUAACCAUAUACUAAAUGCUACUCUGUUCCUGCAUAACAAAGGUAAAAGACACGAAAAGAUCAAACUAUAAACAUGCUAACCACAUGCCAGAACAAAGCUCAAGAAUGUUUUUAGAAAUCCCAAAAUUAUGCAGGACCUAAAAAGGUAAAAUUCAGAAUGUAUGGCAUUCAAAAACAAAUUAUCAGAAAUUCAAGAAGCAGGAAGAUACAGUCAAAACUGACUGUAAAAUUAUGUAACAUGGGAGUCAAUUUUCAUGAUCUUGGAUCAAAUAGUUUCUUAGAUAUGACACCAAAGCAUAUGCAAUAAAAGAAAAAAAUAGACAAAUUUAACUUAAAACCUUUACGCUUCAAGACACCAUCAAGAAGGUGAAAAGACAAGUCUGAGAAAAUAUUUCCUAAUCAUGUCAGAUAAAGGACUGAUACCAGACUUUAACUCUUACAACUCAAUACAAAGGUCAAUAAUCCAGUUGAAAUGGGGGCAAAAGAUCAGAAUAGACAUUUCACUGAAGAAGUUACAUAAAUGGCCAAUAAGCACAUGAAAGAAAGCUCAACAUUAGUCAUUAGAGAAAUGCAAAUCAAAACUGCAGGGUACCACCAUACACUAGGAUGGCUAUACUAAAAAAGACGGAAGUGUUGGCUAAUAUGUGAAGGAACUGGAAUCUUUACAUAUUGCCGGAGAGAAUGUAAAAUGUAUUCAGUGUGGGAAUGUUUGGCAGUUCCUUGGAGUGUUAAAACAGAUUGACCAUAUGUUAUGAACUGAACGCUUCCUGUCAAAAUUCAUAUGUGGAAGCCCUAAAGCCAGUGUGGCUGUUAUCUAGAGAUGGACCUCUAGGGAAAUAAUUAAACCAUCAUAAGGCUGGAGACUUGAUCUGCCUAAGUGCUAGAAUUACAGGCUUGAGCCACUGUGCCCAGCCUAAUUUUUACUUUUUUUUUAAGCAGAGACAAGUUUUCACCAUGUUGGCCAGGUUGGUCUUGAACUCCUGAUCUCAGGUGAUCCAUCCGCCUCGGCCUCCCAAAGUGCUGGGAUUAUAGGCGUGAGCCACUAUGCCUGGCCUCCUGUUUAAGCUACCUAGUAUGUGUUAUUUUCUUAGGGCAGCCCAAGCCAACUAUAUGACUCCAAAAUUCUACCCCCCACAAGAAAUAAAACCCAACAGAAAGAUACGUAAAGACUUGUACUCAAAUUUUCAUAGCAUUAUUAUUUAAAAAGGAGAAGCAACCCAGAUGUCCAUCAGCUGGUGAGUGGAUAAAUAAAAUGUUGUAUGCCUGUACAAUUGAAUAUUGGUUGGCAAUAAAAAGGUAUGAAAUACUGAUAUAUGCCACAGUAUAGAUGUACCUUGAAAAGAUAAUGCGAAAUAAAAGCCAGGCACAAAAUAGCACAUGGUGUAUAAUUUCUUUUUUUUCUUUUUGAGACAGAGUCUCGCUCUGUCGCCCACACUGGAGUGCAGUGGUGUGAUCUCACUGCAAGCUCUGCCUCCUGGGUUCACGCCAUUCUGCCUCCGCUGCCCUAAUAGCUGGGACUACAGGUGCCCGCCACCACACCUGGCUAAUUUUUUGUGUUUUUAGUAGAGACGGGGUUUCACCGUGUUAGCCAGGAUGGUCUCGAUCUCUCUGACCACAUGAUCCACCCGCCUUGGCCUCCCAAAGUGCUGGGAUUACAGGCGUGAGCCACUGUGCCUGGCCAAUAGCUGGGACUACAGGCGCCCGCCACCACACCUGGCUAAUUUUUUGUGUUUUUAGUAGAGACGGGGUUUCACCGUGUUAGCCAGGAUGGUCUCGAUCUCUCUGACCUCAUGAUCCACCUGCCUUGGCCUCCCAAAGUGCUGGGAUUACAGGCGCGAGCCACUGUGCCUGGCCAUAUGAGUUCUCUUAUAUGAAGUGUCCAGAAAACACAAAUCUAUAGAGACAAACCAUAGAUUAGUUGCGGCCUAAGGCCGGGAAUAGUAAUGGGGAGUGACUGGAAAUAGACAUAAAGUUUCUUUUUUGGGUAACAAAAAAUGUUCCAAAAUUAGAUAGUGGGGAUGAUUGUACAAUUCUGUUAUACUAACAGUCGUGGAAUUGUUCACCUAUAAUGGAUGAAUUUAUGGUGUAUCAAUUAUACUUCAAUAAAGCUUAAAAAAUAAUUUUGUAUUGUGGAGUUUAUAAAGUUAAUAACAGAGAAUGUAUGACAAUAA
rnacentral:lncRNA from 10 species